CAAUACUUUGGUGGCGACCGGCGCACGGGUGCGUAACGCGUAUGCAACCUACCUUUAACAGGGGCAUAACACUGAGAAAUUGGUACUAAUUCCCCAUAACAUUCGAGAAGGCAUCUUCUUGGGUUAAAAACUCCGGUGGUUAAAGAUGGGCAUGCGUUGUAUUAGCUAGUUGGUGAGGUAACGGCUCACCAAGGCAACGAUACAUAGGGGGACUGAGAGGUUAACCCCCCCACAUUGGUACUGAGACACGGACCAAACUCCUACGGAAGGCAGCAG
rnacentral:rRNA from 1 species